rnacentral:rRNA from 1 species
GAUGAACGCUGGCGGCGUGCCUAACACAUGCGAGUCGAGCGGCAGCGAGGGGUGCUUGCACCCUGUCAGCGAGCGGCGGACGGCUGAGUAACGCGUGGGAACGUGCCCCAAAGUGAGGAAUAACUGCCCGAAAGGGUAGCUAAUACCGCAUAUUAUCUUCGGAUCAAAGGAUUUAUCCGCUUUGGGAGCGGCUCGCGUCGGAUUAGGUAGUUGGUGAGGUAAUGGCUCACCAAGCCGACGAUCCGUAGCUGGUCUGAGAGGAUGACCAGCCAGACUGGAACUGAGACACGGUCCAGACUCCUACGGGAGGCAGCAGUGAGGAAUCUUCCACAAUGGGCGAAAGCCUGAUGGAGCAACGCCGCGUGCAGGACGAAGGCCUUCGGGUUGUAAACUGCUUUUAUAAGUGAGGAAUAUGACGGUAACUUAUGAAUAAGGAUCGGCUAACUACGUG